ensembl:lncRNA
CAGGGCUACUUGAAAAUUACAGACAGGUGUGUUGGAGCAGGGUUGGAACUGAAUUCUGCAGGACGGUAGUGCUCCAGGAGCAGGGUUGGAGAUCCCUGUGCUAGGGGUAUUUGAUUGAUUUAGUCAUUGAAAUCUAACUCCAGCUGAGCAACCAAAUCUGGCAACCCUGGAUUAGGCUAAUUGUGAACCCGGGUAAAGUAUGUGAUAUUUACAGGUUUUACUUCAGUACCAUGUGGGUUAGUGACCUGGAGAUGAGCCUUCAAUUAAUGUAUGUGUCAUCCCACUGAAGUUCACUGGAAGGCCUCUUUUCUUGCCCAUCAUCCCUGCUGACAAGGUGGCCCCCUCUUUUUGCUUCAUUCGUCUUCCUUAGCUGUCUAUUUCCUCCAUCUCAUGUCAUGUCUGAUUAGUUAGCGCUAGUACUGCCGCAUUUCAGCGUAGCCUCUGGGCUCCUCCUUAAUCCAGCUAUAUUAACAGUCCCUGUAGCCCUUUUAGCAAAGAAACAAUACAGCUGCCAUCUGUUUCCUGCUAUACUUCCUACUGUUUUACGUGGUCCACCACCUCCUGCCUAACCAGUUAAACAGCGGGGAAAACAGCAAGAGUGAAGGCAAAUACAACACAAAUACAAAUAUGUUUACUUUAAAUGAGUGCUAGCACCAAUGGCAUGCACGGGGAAGCCAGUUGGGUUGGAAAUUAGCUAAAUAUCUUCUAUGCCUUUUGGCUUUAAUAAGAUUUCCCCAAGAAACAGAUAAGAAUAAAUUCAUGAAUGGGACGUCCACCUUGAUUUCUGUUCUUUCCAACCACAAAUCACUUGAACAUGUGAUAUAUAUAUAUGACAAAUAAAAUGAAAAUAAAUAAAUUGUCAGCAUAACUGAAAUAUGCAUUAUGAAAAACACAUUGCCUUUCCCACAGCCACUGGAUUCAGUAGAGUUGGUGUAUGCUGAUAGGAUUAUGAUCAUUUCAGUGUGAGGAUUUGUCACAAAACAAUGCACACCUCACAGACUGUACUGCACUUAAUAUUUAUUCAGCACCAACAGCGGUGUGCUAUUACGAUAUGUAACUAUUUAUAAUGUGUCGUACCUGGCUCUUCCACUUCCUC